AGUGAAAUGCGUAGAUAUCUGGAGGAACAUCAGUGGCGAAGGCGACUUCCUGGCUUAAAACUGACGCUGAGGUGCGAAAGCGUGGGUAGCGAACGGGAUUAGAUACCCCGGUAGUCCACGCCGUAAACGAUGUCAACUAGUUGUUGGUCUUAUUAAAAAGAUUAGUAACGAAGCUAACGCGAUAAGUUGACCGCCUGGGGAGUACGGUCGCAAGAUUAAAACUCAAAGGAAUUGACGGGGGCCCGCACAAGCGGUGGAGCAUGUGGUUUAAUUCGAUGCAACGCGAAGAACCUUACCAUCCCUUGACAUGUAGAGAAUUUUCCAGAGAUGGAUUAGUGACCUUCGGGAACUCUAACUCAAGGUGCAUGCAUGGCUGUCGUCAGCUCGUGUCGUGAGAUGUUGGGUUAAGUCCCGCAACGAGCGCAACCCUUAUCUUUAGUUGCUACCAUUAAGUUGAGAACUCUAAAGAGACUGCCGGUGAUAAACCAGAGGAAGGUGGGGACGACGUCAAGUCAUCAUGGCCCUUAUGGGAUGGGCUACACACGUGCUACAAUGGGGGGUACAAAGAGCAGCCAACUGGCAACAGUGCGCGAAUCUCAAAAAGCCUCUCGUAGUCCGGAUCGGAGUCUGCAACUCGACUCCGUGAAGUCGGAAUCGCUAGUAAUCGCGGAUCAGAAUGCCGCGGUGAAUACGUUCCCGGGCCUUGUACACACCGCCCGUCACACCAUGGGAGUGGAUUGCAAAAGAAGUAGGUAGCCUAACCUUCGGGAGGGCGCUUACCACUUUGUGGUUCAUGACUGGGGUGAAGUCGUAACAAGGUAACC
rnacentral:rRNA from 1 species